rnacentral:rRNA from 1 species
CUGGACUAGAAUGUGAGGGAAGUUCGUCUAAUAGCGAACGUCUGGGAAACCAGACCCAAAACAAGGUGCUGCAUGGCUGUCGUCAGCUCGUGUCGUGAGAUGUUGGGUUAAGUCCCGCAACGAGCGCAACCCUUAUCAACAGUUGCCAUCAUUAAGUUGGGAACUCUAAGGAGACCGCCGGUGACAAACCGGAGGAAGGUGGGGAUGACGUCAAGUCAUCAUGGCCUUUAUGUCCAGGGCUACACACGCACUACAAUGGCUGGUACAACGGGAAGCGAAGCCGCGAGGUGGAGCCAAUCCUAUAAAAGCCAGUCUCAGUUCGGAUUGCAGGCUGCAACUCGCCUGCAUGAAGUCGGAAUUGCUAGUAAUCGCGGAUCAGCAUGCCGCGGUGAAUACGUUCCC